rnacentral:rRNA from 1 species
UAGGGAAUCUUCCGCAAUGGGCGAAAGCCUGACGGAGCAACGCCGCGUGAGUGAUGAAGGUCUUCGGAUCGUAAAACUCUGUUAUUAGGGAAGAACAAAUGUGUAAGUAACUAUGCACGUCUUGACGGUACCUAAUCAGAAGGCCACGGCUAACUACGUGCCAGCAGCCGCGGUAAUACGUAGGUGGCAAGCGUUAUCCGGAAUUAUUGGGCGUAAAGCGCGCGUAGGCGGUUUUUUAAGUCUGAUGUGAAAGCCCACGGCUCAACCGUGGAGGGUCAUUGGAAACUGGAAAACUUGAGUGCAGAAGAGGAAAGUGGAAUUCCAUGUGUAGCGGUGAAAUGCGCAGAGAUAUGGGGGAACCCCAGUGGCGAAGGCGACUUUCUGGUCUGUAACUGACGCUGAUGUGCGAAAGCGGGGGGAUCAAACAGG